rnacentral:rRNA from 1 species
GACGAACGCUGGCGGCGUGCUUAACACAUGCGAGUCGAACGGACCCUUUGGGGUUAGUGGCGAACGGGUGAGGUAACACGUGGGUGAUCUGGCCUGCACUUUGGGAUAAGCCUGGGAAACUGGGUCUAAUACCAGAUAGGACUACGCACUGCAUGGUGUGUGGUGGAGAGCUUUUGCGGUGUGGGAUGGGCCCGCGGCCUAUCAGCUUGUGGGUGGGGUGAUGGCCUACCAGGGCGACGACGGGUAGCCGGCCUGAGAGGGUGACCGGCCACACUGGGACUGAGAUACGGCCCAGACUCCUACGGGAGGCAGCAGUGGGGAAUAUUGCACAAUGGGCGCAAGCCUGAUGCAGCGACGCCGCGUGAGGGAUGACGGCCUUCGGGUUGUAAACCUCUUUCGCCAGGGACGAAGCGCAAGUGACGGUACCUGGAGAAGAAGGACCGGCCAACUACGUGCCAGCAGCCGCGGUAAUACGUAGGGUCCGAGCGUUGUCCGGAAUUACUGGGCGUAAAGAGCUCGUAGGUGGUUUGUCGCGUUGUUCGUGAAAACUCACAGCUUAACUGUGGGCGUGCGGGCGAUACGGGCAGACUGGAGUACUGCAGGGGAGACUGGAAUUCCUGGUGUAGCGGUGGAAUGCGCAGAUAUCAGGAGGAACACCGGUGGCGAAGGCGGGUCUCUGGGCAGUAACUGACGCUGAGGAGCGAAAGCGUGGGGAGCGAACAGGAUUAGAUACCCUGGUAGUCCACGCCGUAAACGGUGGGUACUAGGUGUGGGUUUCCUUCCUUGGGAUCCGUGCCGUAGCUAACGCAUUAAGUACCCCGCCUGGGGAGUACGGCCGCAAGGCUAAAACUCAAAGGAAUUGACGGGGGCCCGCACAAGCGGCGGAGCAUGUGGAUUAAUUCGAUGCAACGCGAAGAACCUUACCUGGGUUUGACAUGCACAGGACGCCGGCAGAGAUGUCGGUUCCCUUGUGGCCUGUGUGCAGGUGGUGCAUGGCUGUCGUCAGCUCGUGUCGUGAGAUGUUGGGUUAAGUCCCGCAACGAGCGCAACCCUUGUCUCAUGUUGCCAGCACGUUAUGGUGGGGACUCGUGAGAGACUGCCGGGGUCAACUCGGAGGAAGGUGGGGAUGACGUCAAGUCAUCAUGCCCCUUAUGUCCAGGGCUUCACACAUGCUACAAUGGCCGGUACAAAGGGCUGCGAUGCCGUGAGGUGGAGCGAAUCCUUUCAAAGCCGGUCUCAGUUCGGAUCGGGGUCUGCAACUCGACCCCGUGAAGUCGGAGUCGCUAGUAAUCGCAGAUCAGCAACGCUGCGGUGAAUACGUUCCCGGGCCU